rnacentral:piRNA from 1 species
UCAUUUUACAGAAAUGAGAUGUAUCGGUCA